CUUGCUUUCUUCAAUAAUUGAAUUAGACAGUUAUAUGGUUCAGCAUUUUAUUAUAUUUGAAUCUGGGAUUUCAUGCAUGUAAUAAAGGAUUUAUGAGUUUUCGUGAAAUGAAAAUGGUUUUCUACCUUUCAUGGUAGCGAGUUUUAAAAGGAAAAGGUUUCCGUGUGGUAAACAGUUUUUAAAAGGUUUUCUCGUAGUUUUUCGUGACUUAGUAUUUCAAAACCAGUUUCCGGGUAGGAAACAUUUUUAAACAAAUAGUUGUGGAUUUAUGGUUAAAACUCUGAAUGUGAAUCUGAAUGUGAAUGGUGUAUGAAUGUAUGAAUGUUUGUAUGUUCAGUUGUGGUGGUUAUAUUCUGUUUAUGUAUCUUGUACUUGUGCGACACCGUGCAAAUACAGGGGAGACUCUAUCCAUGUGAAUAGUAGACUCCCUAUAUUUGUGACAGAUCUGGCAUACCCUGGGGGUCAAGUUUUCAAAAAAAAAAAAAAA
rnacentral:lncRNA from 1 species